CAUAAGCCCUUCUUCAGGGAUAUUAAAUGGCGUGCUGUUAACCCAGCAUGCAGUGCGGCGGUGAAUGUAACCUGGUCACAAAACAGAGCGAGACGCAGGCGUAGUGCCGUGCAGCGUAUAGAGCAUGCGCGGAAUGGGGUCCUGCGGAGGGAGGACUGUUUGUGUCGGUUCCGUAAAGGAAUAUUGAAAGAGGAUUUUUGAGGGCAGGAAAUUUCAAACAGGCAUCACAUCGAAUGCUGCCAGGAUCAGUCAACCUGAGUCUUAUCGGCUUUUGAACGGUAUCAGAAUGGGAAGAUUUAUAGCAAUGGGAUCACAUCAGAAUCUGAACGUCAUUGGAUUUUGAACAGAGAAGGAAAAACACCAGAUUGGGAAGAAAGUGCACACAUUUACUGCGUGUACAGGAAUUCAGUCAAUCAUCUGACCUGUUGAGACAUAAUUGUCAUCGCAGUGGGGAGAAACCGUGGAAAUGGGGAAACUGUGGAAAGGGAUACAGGUCCCCAUCUGAGCUGGAAACUCACUGACACACUGGGGAGAAGCUAUUCAGUUGCUUCAAGUGACAGAAGGCUUUCACUUAAUUAUCCACUUUGCUGAGACACUAGCGAGUUUACACUGAGGACAGACCAUUCGCCUUCUCCAAGUGUGAGAAAGGAUUCACUGAGUUUUCCAAUCAGUUGAAACACCACAAGUUCACAUUGACAAGAGACCCUCUAAAUAUCCAGAUUGCGGAAAUGGUUAUAAAACUUUCUGGUGACUCAGUGUCUCAUCAACGAGCUCACACUGAGGAGAAACCUUUCAGGUACACUCACUGUGGGACUGGAUUCAGGUGAUUGUACAACCUCACUCUACACCACCACAGCCACAGGCCAUUCUCCUGAUCUGAGAUGGGAAGGGAUCCACUUGGGCAACCUACCUGCUGACACACUAGCAGGUACAUGAUCAACUACAGUGACUUAAUUUGCUGUUAAUCCCAUCCAUGACUGAGCCGUGUUCAUUGAGGUCUGUUUUUGCUGAUGUUCAUAAACCACAUCUCACUUGUUACGGAGAGUGGAGUGAAAUGGAGAUGGUGUGGACUGAGAGUUUCUACUGGCCCAUCAACGUCCCAGUCCCGUUCACAGCAAACGGCUGCCGCUUCGUACGGCGACAAACCGAGGUAACUGUCUUUUAUUGGGGGUGAUGUUCACACGGAGCCGCCAUGUUUAUUGGGUCAAUGUGCAGCAGCAUGCCUGCGCAUUCUUUAACAGCGGCCGGAAGACAACAAUAAGCCCAUUCAGUCCAUCGAGACUGCUUCGCCAUUCCAUUGUGCUGUACUGUUCUGUCAGCCAUAACGUGCACUGAUGAUGUCGAUAUCAUUCUAAACUAAUCCCUUCUGCCUGCACUUUGUCUAUAUCCACUGCCUGUUCAUGCAUCAGUCUGAAUUUCUCUUAAACGUUGCUGUCAUAUCUACAUUUACCACCUCCCCUGGCAGUGCAUUCCUGGUCAGAUGUAACAUGGGUGAGAUUGCACCCCUCCAACUUACAAGAACACAGAAAGGGGACUUUAGUACUUUGAAAGAAAUCCUUGUAAAACAUUAUUGUAGGAUUGAGUUGUCCAUAGAUCACUAAAAUGUCACGGUCUCACACAAAAAAGGCCAGUAUGAAUGGAAUGCAAAGUUUUCAGCUAAAGGGUUAACAUCAGAAAGAUAUGGAGCUUCUGCCUCAGGCUCCUGGUUAGAGGAGCCCACAGCCAGAGUAGGCAUCGGUUCUGCGUGUCUCCUCGUUUGAUAACUUGGUUUUGGAAUGCAUGCUGUGUAGACUCAUGAGAAUGUAACCUAACCCUUUGAAAUUUUAACCAAACAAAGACCACGUUCAACAAGACUGGUGGUAGUAUUGCUGGAGAUUUUCCUAGGAUCUUGAAAAGGAUAAGUUAACAUGACAGGGAGCAUUUUUCUCCAGACAUGAGUGUCCAGGAUAACGAGACAACCUUUAGAAGGUCUCAGCCAUACCAUUCCUGAGGGAAGUUACAAAGCGUUACAAGCAAAGAGUAAUAGAAUUGUGGGAUUAUCUUUGGGAAAAAAAGGAAUGCUAGCUCAAAUAAUCAUUUAAAUAUUAAUUUAUUUCUGCUCAAUUAAGGGCAAAAAAGGAUAUGGAAUUGUGUUGGGUGAAUGGAAGUGGUAAAACCAAUGCAAGAAGCCAAAUGGUUGCCUACUGUUGGUGCACUGGGUGUCUUAAUGUUCUUUGACCUCUGCCUUUCUUGAGAGUAUCCAACUGGUUCUGAAGUGUCAAGUUGCCAGAAUUGGAGGGUUUGAGCUAUAGGGAGAGGCUGAAUA